GCUAGUGUAGCUCAAUUGGCAGAGCAGCUGAAUCGUAAUCAGCAGGUUGGGGGUUCAAGUCCCUUCACUAGCUCCA
rnacentral:tRNA from 1 species